GGAACUCCAGGUGCUGGGUCUUCCAGGAGCGCGCCUGCGCGGGAGGGUGACCACAGGCGGCCGGGCGGGAUGUCCUGUCCGCAGUCUUCAGCCCAGCCGCCGCCACCCAUAAGCUAUGAGGAGGAGUUUACGACCACCUGGACUACUACCACCUGCGUGACUUCCCGGCCUGCGGGGUCCGCGCAGCAAAGGCUUGACGCUGCUGGAGCAGGCGCUGCGCACCUACUGGCUGGCGCCUGGUAGGCACGAGCGCAGGGUCGCCCAGAAGCUCCUCAAUGGCCUGAGCAAGUACCAGCCAGCGCCAGCUGCAGCCCUGGCCGCGCACUCGCCUCAGCUGAGCCUGGGAAUGAAGAAGCUGUUUCUUUACACAAUCGUUAUCCCAUAAUGCCUGCUUCUGCUGCUACCACGGGCUCACCUAAAAGGCAACCAAAGGGAGGAACAGGAAGAGAAGAGUGUGGCCUCCUAGAAAUCUAGCACGGAGAAAGUUACUCAUCCUUCAAAACUCAGUUCAGAGAUCAGCUCCUCCAAGAAGGCUUCUGUGGUUGUGGUUGGUGCUCUUUCCUACCAGUACCAGCUGUCCUGAGAGCACGUCUCUACAUCUCUACCUGCAUUCUGGAAACCGGGAGAAAGCCAAAACGGAUGACAAGACACUAGAUCAGCCGUGUCCAACCCUGUGACUACAAGGACUUUUCCGCCUAUCUUUGGUGAGACGGGGUCUCACUGUAUUGUCCAGGUUGGUCUCAAACUCUUUGACUCAAGGGAUCCAGGACAGGAUAACAGGUGUGAGCCACCACACCUGGCCAUGUGCAUGAACUUUUAAGACAAACACAAGGCCCCACAAAAGGGGUUCCUGGCAAGUCAGUUCUCCCUCAGGCCUUUGGUUUCCUCACCUACAAGAUGAGAGGGCCGGACCAGAUGGAAAUUCGGGGGGGUCCGUAUCUCCUGCUCGGUGAGGUCGUUGGACACAGCGCACUUGGUGCCCAGCCCGCGCAGGCUGCCAAUGGAGAUGCCGAUGAGCUUCUGGAGCUGUCCGCACUGCUGCAGCCCCGGGCUGGCCGGGGCCCCUGCGCCACCCUCAGCGGCCGCUGCAUCACCCCCGCCACCGCCCUCCUUCUUCUCUCCCAUCGCCUCCGCGCGCAGUGCCGCCCUAUGCAGGCCACAGCGGCCGAGGCAGGGAGCCCGGGGCUCGGGCGCCUAGGCAAGGAACCCCCGAGCCGGGAGAGCUGGACCGGGAGCGCCCCUCGGCGCUGCCCUUGCCAGGACGCCAGUAGAGCUGGCAGCGGAGUCUGCCGCUCCCGCCCUCAGAGCCGCGGCGGCGGGGAGAAGAGGGUGGGACGGUCUGACAGCCGUGGCGGCGGGAGCAGAAAGCCGCGGCGGCAAAAAGCCGCGGCGACGGGGGGCAAAAAGCCGCGGCGGCGCAGGCAAAAAGCUUAGGCGGCGGGGGCAAAAAGCCGCGGCGGCAAAAAUGCGCGGCGGCGGGGCAAAAAGCCGCGGCGGAAGAAAGCCGCCGGGGCGGGGGCAAAAAGCCGCGGCGGGGGGGACAAAAAGCAGUGGGAGCUGGGGCAAAAAAACCACAAAAAGCCGCGGCGGCGGGGACCAAAACGCCGCGGCAGCGGAGGCAAAAAGCUGCAAAAGCCGCGGUGUGGGGGCAGAAAGCCGCAGCGGGAGAAAGUCUCACUCCAAAUUCCCUUGCUUCAGUAAGCUUCUCUAGGCCAAUGUUCCUUCGGCAUUACCCAUUUUCUUCCUGUGAAUGCAAAUCACAUAAACAUGGAAGUACAUUUGACCAUUUUAAUUGUUUAACAUUCCAUGUCACACGACCUUCCACAAUAGAAUCAAUGUAUUAAAAUGUGUUAACGACCACACAUUUUACACAAAUGCCAUGAAUCCUUAAGGUGUUCCAAUUUAUAAAAUAUGUCUGCAAAUCAUACUUUAUGAUGCUUUGUAUUCUGUCGGUAAUUGGAUGUCAUAUAUUUAAAUUCUAUUAAACUGCUUAUUAAAAUG
rnacentral:lncRNA from 1 species